GUCGUUGUAGUAUAGUGGUGAGUAUCCCUGCCUGUCACACGGGAGACCUGGGUUCGAUCCUCGGCAAUGGCG
rnacentral:tRNA from 1 species